UUAAACCCAAACGACCCCCUAACCUAAAUCAUUUUCUCACCAGCCCGCCACCCUUGAAUCCCCUUCCUCCCAAACUCUCUCUGAAACCGAAAGCAAACCCUAUCCGCUGCCACCUAAAUCCAUCUUAAACCCCUUUGAUCCUCAGCUAAUCCAUGGGCUCCCAUGGCUGUUUGAGACGUGUACCAGUCUCUUAUGUCUCUCGGUUGUUUGUUACCGUGAUUUCAUAGACAGAUCUCAAAGAGAUCUAGUCCAGUCUUGGCUCAACUUCUAUCUAUGGUCUUUUCUUGGUCAUCCAUGCCGGCCGAGUCAGAUCCAUGGCUUUUCCGACUAGAUCGGUAACUUUUUUGAAUUUUUUCUCACAUU
rnacentral:lncRNA from 1 species